rnacentral:rRNA from 1 species
AAUGAACGUUGGCGGCGUGGAUUAGGCAUGCAAGUCGAACGGGCCGCAAGGCCAGUGGCGGAAGGGUGAGUAAUGCGACGGUAACCAACCCCGGAAAUGGGUAUAGCCGCGGGAAACUGCGGGUAAUCCCCAGCGACGUGUCGGGUCGGCAUCGACCUGACACCAAAGCUCCGGCGUUCCGGGGCGGGCCGUUGUGGUAUUAGCUAGUUGGCGGGGUAACGGCCCACCAAGGCUGCGACGCCUACCGGGCGUGCGAGCGUGGCCCGGCACACUGGGACUGAGACACUGCCCAGACUCCUACGGGAGGCUGCAGUCGAGAAUCUUCGGCAAUGGGCGCAAGCCUGACCGAGCGACGCCGCGUGGAGGACGAAGGCCUUCGGGUUGUAAACUCCUGUCGAGGGGGGGGAAGGCGCAAGCUUGACCGAUCCCUGGAGGAAGCACGGGCUAAGUUCGUGCCAGCCGCCGCGGUAAGAC